CAGGCAGAUCAGAUAUAAUCAAUUAUAUUUCAAUGUUUUAUAUGUUGAUAUGGCAUUACACCGUGGCUAAAAAGAGCAACACAGGUGUAUAAAUAAAAGGAGUUAAAGGCAAACGUUAACUCACAGUUAGACUGGGAGGUCGAAGGACAAACAAAGUCAAUGCACGGUAAUAUCGGUAAACACCGAAAUUAUUAUAAAGAAGCUUAAUUAGGCUCCCCAACAGGCACAGGUUAAACAACCUACUAUAAUAUAAUUACUCCCUUACCAGAGAAGGUGUGUUGCAGAUCACCUGCGCCAUGAUCAAUAUCUAGGCCUAUAUAGGCUAACAAUUAAAAAACACGUCUAAACACAAUGAGUUGCGAAGGCCAACUAACUGAAACGCUUCGUACAGCGCGCCAUAUUACGUCACUAAAUUUUGACGUCAUAUUACCCCCAACGUUGUAUCACGUGACCAACAGUCUUCGAUAGUCAAUUUGACAGACUUGCUCGUUGGUGUUCUGAUCGACAAUGCGGUGGGACUGAAAGGAUAAAUAUAUUUAUUUAUGCGCAGAUAUUAAUACUCGGGUUUGCUACCAUAUCCAGUCGGCUCCUUGGUUCACGGCACUCAAUUUAUACGGAGCUAUGGGUGAUUUUCGGCUACAUGCAGCCGGUGAAGAAAACGGCGUGGAACAAAAUGGUGCAGUCCAUUUGUGACGCGGGGAGAACAGGUUCGUAAAGGUAAACAAACAAGUGAUCCCAUUAACAAAGAAAAGUCAUGUUGAUACGAAUACUUUAUAACAGAAUAACAUGGGUAUGUUCCCAGCAAAACAAUAAAUAAUCUAUUAGUAUAGCGAAUCAAUAUACAUAUAAUUUAGGUGUGUUCCCGGACCGUAACACAGCCCCCCUCCCAAUCCGGGUUUGGUCCCCAAACAGGUAGGCAGUUUGGUCAAUGUUACUCAUCCUUAAGUAUGGCUAAUCUGUCACUGGCUAUUUGAACUAGUGUUGGCAGAAUAUAAAAUUCACUUUCGAUGAUGAUCGAGCUCCUCCAAGAACCGAGGUUCCUUGGGGAGGGUUUGAGGCUUCGAAACACCCCCACGGCGCAAAUGGUUUAGUACAUGUCGGAAGUGCGCUGGGUCCCUAUCAAUAAAAUAUGUGCUGGGAUUGGAGGCAAUUGGUUCAACCCUGAAAAGGAAGGUGAAAAAACUGUCAGGGACAUUUAGCAGCGUCUCCUGUGUGGUGUCAUACUUGGUGCCCCCAAUGUUUAAUACAAUCCGGUUCAAUUGCAUAAGCGUGGCUUUCGUUACGACUGGACAAGGGUGUGGCAUCGGUUCCUCCUCAGAUGGCAGGUUUGGUACUGUUUGUAGAAAGAAUUCCACGAACCCCACGUCUUCAUCAACAGUCGAAACGCCUUCCGCAUACAGAGACAAUGUGUCACUGUUGUCUUGUAACUUCCUGGGGGAGGACUGAAAAAGAUGUACCGGGACUGAUGGUGUUCGGGAGUACGUUUGUGGUAAUGUUCGGCUCUUCUUUUCUGUAUUAGUUGACAUUGGAGGAGGGCUGUCACGCUUCCUCUUUUCUGUAGAAGGGGUGAGUUGCCUCUCCUGCAUUGGUAAGAUUUUCUCAUCAAUGGUCAACAUAAAACGAGACAAGGCGUCCUCAACCACCUGGCCGAACUCUCCAGUUAUACGAUUAAAGGGCUCGUACGGUGCCGAGCCAUCUCCCCCGGUGCAAUCUCUAUGCUUCUGGUGUCGGCGCAUAAAUACCUUCUUGCAGAGUAAGCACCGAAAGCCAAUGCCACUGUGUUGCUCGACCAGAUGUCGCCUCCCAGCCGAUUUUUUGUCAAAAGUGUAGUCCCCGCAUACACGGCAAGUGUAAGUAGUAACCUUAAAUGAAGAAUAAAGUCUCAUACAAAAUCUGAGUAUAUGCAGGUGAGUAUAAACAUACAGGUAAGUAGAAAUUUAUCUAUUAAUAAUCAUUAAUACAUCGGCUUUAUAUACAAACAAUAAAUAAAUUACAGAUAUUAUACUCUGUGCCAUGUUGGGGGGCAGUUCCCUUCAUAUCGUUUUAGUUUGUCAUGAUGAACUAUUUUUGGUUUAGCUCGAGGGGAUUCCUGUAUCCGGUAAAUCACACUAUUAAUUAUCUGCGUGACAAUAUAUGGCCCCUGCCAAUCUCUUUGCAGUUUUCUACUCAAGCCCUUUCUUGGCUUGGGGUUAUGAACCCAUACUGGAGUCCCAACUUCAUAACUAUUAUGAGCUAACUUUUUGUCAUAAUUUCUUUUCAUAUUGGCACCAGCCAUAUUAAGUUGACCACGAGCAAAAUUAUGUAUUCUAUUAAUUUUUUGUUCUAAUUCAUACGCGUAGUUAAAAUCUAAUGAAUAAUUAUCUGUAUUCAUCAUUUCAGGUGUGCCAAAGACUAAAUCAACAGGAAGAGUUAUCUCUCUUCCGUACAUCAUUUUGUUUGGGGUUACUCCAGUUGAUUCAUGAAUGGAUGAACGAUAAGCCAUCAUUAUCAUAGGAAGGAAUAUCAACAUCAUUUAGGAUAUACUCAGAGCCAUUCGAUUGGUCCGGUGGAAAAGAGGUAGAAGGCAUGUUAAUGCUAUCAGUAGUUCCAAUGCCAACCAUUCUGACUGAUGCAGAUGGAAUCGGAUCUCCUUCUUUGUCAGUGGCACCGGCCAGUUUUUGACAGCCUCGAUUUUGGCAGGAUCAGUAGCAAUUCCCUGGGCACUAACAAUGUGCCCUAGAUAGAAUCAUUCAGAUUUGGUGUACUUCUAUCAAGGACUUCCGUGACAUGAUCAGAUUGUACAUUAGAAGUGGACAAUCGCUGCAGAUGUCUUGUUAAGAGCUGCAUAUCUUGUCGCAGACCUUGCACAGCAUCAUUUAAUUUGGUUCCCCUGACUUCUAAAAAUUGAAGCUUCUAUUCGUUUCUCCAUAGAUUGGAGGGCAUCAGCUUCAGACAAAGUGUCAUCAACAGUCUCAUUCACAACAGUGAAGUCAGGGUCCUCCAUACUAGAACCACUUGAGGCAAUACUAUCAUUUAAAUUCUGAGGACAAGGCACAGAUUGCUCUUUAAACGUAAUCUCGGAAUCGCUCAUGUCUGAUAUAGGGUUCACCAACUACAGAACUUCAAUGGAUCCCACUUCUGACACCAAUUGUUACGCUACCAACCCUCCGGCUGGCAACCAAUGAAUUCGCGGGCGUUCUGUAGCUGUAUGUGAAGACCCCCUGCAACACCCCAGACACGAACAGAUAACAGAGUACUUUAAUUAAGAACAACACAAACUUUAUUACCUAAAUAUAUAAAAUAAUUAAUACAAUAUUUAAUAAUUAAUAUUUAAUAAUUGAAAUGUACAUCGAAGUUGAAAAGUUAUACUUGUUUCACGUCGUAAAUUGUUAAUUGUACCGGUACUUAGUUUUUGAAGUGGUGAAUAUAUCAGGAUACUUGGUGUAUGCGAUACACGAUUCAGGACCUUCUGGAUUGGUAAUGGUUUCCCUGUAAAUAAAGAUACCAAGCCCAA